GGGGGCGCAAAUCCACAGGUUAGGGGGCGCAAAUUACUUGCCUUGCCCCGGGUGCUGACAACCCACGCUACGCCACUGGCCUGCGGUAAACAAAAACUUUAUCUGUGGUUACCUUAAUUUAUUUAAUAAUUAAUCAAAUGAUUUAAUAAUCUUUAUUUCUUAUUGCCCCCCCUUAACAAAGUACAACUCCUAAACAUGGCACACAAGCAAGGGACAGAGGGCAAUAACACAAAAUCCUUUUGCUCACUGCUCUCUCUCCACUACAAAUCUGACUCCCUUUGUCUUUGUCUCUGUCUCUGUCUCUUACACACAGUGUCAUUUCCUGGAUUGGAUUCCACUGUUAUGGAAACAACUCUUUCAUUCUCUAAGAGAUUUCAGAAGGUGUGAGGGAGGCCCACACUGUUCUAGGAAACUGGAAAGAGAGGCCAGAGGCAUGUACAAAUGAGAACAGCAGAGUGCUUUUCUCAUUCAUCCAGUCUUCCCCACCCCCUUCCUGUCUGUAAUGUAAGCCAUUAGGCAAUUGAGGUUUCCUCCUGCGCUUCCUGAAAUUUUUUUGGAAGGCAGUAGAUAGAAGACAGAAAUUUGCUAGCAAGCAUCUGAGGACAUCCUUCCUCUAUUACUGUAUUGGUGUUGCAUCACUAAUCGGUAAGCCCAGGGGUAGGCAACCUAAGGCCCGGGGGCCGGAUGCGGCCUAGUCGCCUUCUCAAUCCGGCCCACAGACGGUCCAGGAAUCAGCGUGUUUUUACAUGAGUAGAAUGUGUGCUUUUAUUUAAAAUGCCUCUCUGGGUUAUUUCUGGAGCAUAGGAAUUUGUUCAUUUCACCCCCAAAAGUAUAGUCUGGCCCACCACUGUCUGAGGGACAGUGGACCAGCCCACAGCUGAAAAAGGUUGCUGACCCCUGGGUAAGCCCUUGCCCAAAGUAUCUUGAGGUUUGUCCGCUGAGGUGAGGAGAGUUCUGCUCAGAGGACAAUACCCCCUACCAUCAGCCUCACUGAUGUGGUCCAAAGGAAAGCCAAGCAAUUUCUUUGGCACCAGCUUGGUUGCAGGAGUUGCUUGAAGGAGAUGUACAAUGUGCCACCCACUCUUAGGGACUCCACUCUGAUUUGUGUAGGGUUUAUUCCUUUGCCUUUUUUUGUCCUGAAGAUAUUCUGCAAGGCAGCAAAGGUUUAGGGUCAGAGUUUUUCUUCUUCUAUAUGGGCUCCCUUUCCAGGUUGAUGAGCCCUGGUAAACAUGCUUAACACUGCACUGCAAGUUUGGAUGGAUUGUAUUCAUGAUGUACCAGAUAUGUUUUAAGGAUUUACCAUCCAAAUGCCGUCAACUACAAAUUCACCUGAGGCACAACAGCUGCACUUGACUCCUUCUUUUUGGCCGUUGGAUAGUAAAACAGCAUCAGUCCAUGGAGUACCUGGACUGUAAAAGAGUAAAAAGCACAUCACCUGACAGAGUAAAAAGCACAUCACCUGACAGAGGACCACACAGUUGCUGCAGCUGGGGGAUGAGCUAGGAUGAAAGCCAAUGGGAGCUGCCACAACAACUUAAUGUUAACGGAGGCAGGGGAGAGAGAUGCUGCUUCCAAGGUACAUUAAGUGUUGGAGGAGAGAGAAGCAACAACAACGUAAUUAUAUGUUAGUAAUUUUAGGUAAGCUGCCUUGAGGAUCCUUCUGGAUCAAAAACCAAGAUGAAAAUAAAAUAAAAUAUAUAAUACCUUCAGGCAAUUUUAGUAAUUAAUAUAGCAGCAAUCAUCUCAGGAAACAUUCUCUGAGGGCUCCUGAAUCACAGUAAAAAUAGAAGCAUAGCAUAGUGUUGUUUCAGUAUUAAAGGAAACUACAAUUUGAAAUACUAAGAAUUACAAUAAUUACAUUGCUAUUAGUGACUCUAAGAAAGCUUACUCAAUACUUAAUUGGCAAAAAAAUUAUUUGUUUCUGAAGCCUUUGGAGUCAUUUCAAGGCAAUGCAAAUUACUGUUUUAUGUUCAUUGGAGAUGAGUGCAUUAUUUUUAGUGCUACAAAUAGAAAUAGCAGCUGUCAUUUACACAGCCCAGCCCCUUGCAAAGUAGUUGAAAGACACACCCAAGCAGCAGCAGCAGCAGCAGCAGCAACAACAACAACAACAACAACAACAACAACAACAACAACAACAACAACAACAACACAAUAACAGCAGACAAGCCAAGAAUAUGUUGAGUCUGCCACUUCUGUUUUCAUUUUUUGAAAGCUGCACAACUGGAAGCCUGGACAAAGCAACCCAAAUUGGAGUGUGCCAUCAGAUAGUGUAAGGAUGGUGUGCCCAAUAUCACCUCUUGUAUUAUGGGGACAGCUCAGCAUAUGUCAGUCCUGCCAGCCCUCCUGUCAUCUGAAUAAAUAGACAUAGGAGUGAUACAUACUAGGAAGCCUGGAGUUUUGGGUGAAUGGAAG